rnacentral:rRNA from 1 species
UACGUAGGGGGCGAGCGUUGUCCGGAAUCAUUGGGCGUAAAGAGCUCGUAGGCGGUUCAGCAAGUCGGCUGUGAAAUUCCGAGGCUCAACCUCGGAACUGCAGUCGAUACUGCUGUGACUCGAGUCCGGUAGAGGAGAAUGGAGUUCCCGGUGUAGCGGUGAAAUGCGCAGAUAUCGGGAGGAACACCAGUAGCGAAGGCGGUUCUCUGGGCCGGUACUGACGCUGAGGAGCGAAAGCGUGGGGAGCAAACAGG